UUACAUUGCGUUGAUACCCUUUUGGCUU
rnacentral:piRNA from 1 species